CCUACGGGUGGCAGCAGUGAGGAAUAUUGGUCAAUGGCCUUACGGCUGAACCAGCCAAGUCGCGUGAGGGAUGACUGCCCUAUGGGUUGUAAACCUCUUUUGCCAGGGAGCAACGCCGGCGACGCGUCGCCGGCCUGGGAGUACCUGAAGAAAAAGCAUCGGCUAACCCCGUGCCAGCAGCCGCGGUAAUACGGAGGAUGCGAGCGUUACCCGGAUUUAUUGGGUUUAAAGGGUGCGUAGGCGGAAUGCCAAGUCAGCGGUAAAAUGGCGGGGCUCAACCUCGCUCCGCCGUUGAAACUGGGGAUCUUGAGUGGGCGAGAAGUACGCGGAAUGCGUGGUGUAGCGGUGAAAUGCAUAGAUAUCACGCAGAACUCCGAUUGCGAAGGCAGCGUACCGGCGCCCGACUGACGCUGAGGCACGAAAGCGUGGGGAUCGAACAGGAUUAGAUACCCGUGUAGUC
rnacentral:rRNA from 1 species